ACAUGUUUGUUUUAACUUUACAGCUUCUUGAUUCUAGAAUUCCCAUUCUCAGGCCUAAUGCUGGUGAUGGAUUUGUCUGUGGCCUGCUGUUGGAUUCAAAACAACCCUACUGUUGGGGCAAUAGCAUCUACAUCCAAAUGGGUGUCCCUCAUCCAAUGGCUGAAGAAGCUUCCUACUCAGAAAUCAGUGCUGGGGACCACCAUAUCUGGGAAUUGAGAUUGCUCGCCAAAGGGACCUAUGCAAACAUCUCCAUGGUUGGGCUUAGACAGUAAGUUUUCUUCUUGUUGUUGGUUUUUUUUGGAUUCUCCAUAUGAAAUUAUGAGAAAUCAUGCCUAAAACAUUUAAAAGCAUUUGUUGGAGCCCAACUAAGUUUUGAAAUAGCCUAAAAUCUGUUGUGACCCCUUAUCUAAGUCACAAUGAAUGGCCUAGAUGUAUAAACUACAUCUCGUUGGGUCCGCUGUACAAAAAAAGAAGAAGAAGAAGGUUUCAAUGGAUGUGCAUCCACUCUUAACCAUUGUUUAUGUCUCCCCUAAGUUGUGGAUUGGCCUCAUUUUUAAGCCCAUGGCUCACCAUGAAAGGGUAUAUCUAAUUCAUGGGAUAGGUGUCUACAAAUUUUGAGGAUGUGUUGCAAGAAGAAAACCUUUACUUGAUUACUGAGGCUAUUAUCAUUUUGCAGAAAUAUUUUAGACCAAUGAAAUUUUAAUAUGAUUGAAAUGGACGGACAACUGAAGGAAGCAGGAGAGUCCAAAGUGGAAGAUGCUUCAAAUAUGACUAAAAUGGAAGGGCAACUGGAGGAAGAGGAAGAUGCUUCACAUGUGACUAGAAUGGAAGAACAACAGGAGGAAUUAUGCAUUUCUUCAAGCUAUAUGUUUUCAUAAGCGCUAUUAGUUCUUAACUUCUAACGUCUUGAUUUAAGUUGAAAUUUAAGCUUUCAAUCCAAUGAGAAUAAAUCCUGGUGGCUCAUUGCAAGACUAAAUUGUGUACAAUGUGGGCAAUACAGUUGAUGACUGCCCUCAUUUUGAAAAUAGUACAAAAGGCUUGUUUGGAUUUUCCAAUGGGUGCCUAACCAUGAAGAGAUGGGAUGAGAUUAGUGCAUUGUUUGGUAAGCCAGGGCACUUUUUCAUUAUUUCAGCUUUUGUUUCCAAUCAAAGUAUUGUAUUAGCAGAUAUUGCUUUCCUUGUUAUUAUUAUUAUUAUUUUUUUGUAACUUUCUAUCUGUGUUCCUAAUUUAUGUUGCGCAUGAAGUUAUUUGGAAAUGUUGUAUCUAUUAUUAGCAAGCAAUACUUUUCAUUUUCAUUUUCUAAAAUUGUGUCUUUUGCUUUUUGAACAUGCAUAGAAUCCUAUAAGGAAUUGGGAAAAUACAGACCAAUCUUAGACUUCUUAGUGACAUUCUAUCUGGUUGUAAACAGGGGCACCUUCUGUGAUUUGAGGCUUCAUCUCAUCAUUAAUAAUGCCAGGUUUGCUCUUUUAAGUUACUAGAUAAAACCCAAGAUUUCUGCACCCAUAUUCACUCUACAACCGUCAUUACUGUCUGACUGUUGCACCCUUCGUGUAUUCCAGAUCAUAUAAAUGAUGGGCCACAUUCAAAUAUUACAUCAAUUGCAAAAGUAGAUAUAACAUUUACAUACCAAUUCAUGCAUUAAUUUUGAUUUCUUUUUGGUUUCACUGGUGCUAAUGGUUUAGCAAAUCCACAUAUUAGUCUCAUCUGUUUAUACAUUGUCAGAUUCUUGUUGUUUUUUUUUUUUUCUAAUGUUAUUUUUGUUUUUCUUUUAACUGUUGUUGUCAUUUUGUGGUGGGGCUUUUUCUGUUUUUGAAUUGUUGGUAGUGCUUUGAACUCGGAUACUGUUUCAUUUUCAUUUCUCUAAUAAUGUUUCUUAUCAUGUAUGAAAAUACUGUGUAUUUUCUUUUUAAUAUAAUUGUGCAUGUUUCUGAAUGGAGUUUGCACUUGUUGGUAUGAGGUGGUUUUGGUUCGGCCUCAAAAAAGGCGGGACUGGGGUUUUUUGCUUCUUUUACCAAUACAUUUUCUUUUGGCAACAUGUAUCCAAUCACCAGUGUAGUAUCUAACAUGCAUUUGAAUUUUUGGCGGGAAAAUUUUCUUACCGCAGCUUUGCACGCUGAGUAAUCGACCUCUGUCCGAGCUCUCCAGUUAGGCAGCAAUGUAGCAGUUUGUCCUCCAUGCUUGAUUAAGAAACACAUCAUUUGCAGUUUAUCUUUCAAAAGAAUAAAGCGAGCCAAAAGACUUCCUGGUGACCCAUGGGCUGAGUUAUGUCUAUUCCUAACAAAGCGAGCCAAAAGACCUCAAGUAGCCCAAAGGCCUAAUGACUAGGCACAUCCAAGCCUACCUUUCUUGGAUAUGUACUUCUCAUAAUCCAAGCACAUAAAAAGAGCCUGCGGCCGGCAUUGCCAUGCGAGAAGUCAUCGUGUUUGAAAGGUGGCCAAGCUUUAUUGUUUUACAGUGCAAUCUUCUUAGUGGCGUUGGGAGUGGGCGGGAUUCGAGGGGCACUUCUAGCUCUAGGUGCAGAUCAGUUUAACCAGAAGGAUUCCAAGGAGCGAAAAUACGUAGCGAGCUUCUUCAAUUGGUUCUUGCUCAGUAUAACGAUCAGAGCAUCGAUUGGAGUUACAAUCAUC